GAUGAACGCUGGCGGCGUGCCUAAUACAUGCAAGUCGAGCGAACAGAUGAGGAGCUUGCUCCUCUGACGUUAGCGGCGGACGGGUGAGUAACACGUGGAUAACCUACCUAUAAUACUGGGAUAACUUCGGGAAACCGGAGCUAAUACCGGAUAAUAUAUUGAACCGCAUGGUUCAAUAGUGAAAGACGGUUUUGCUGUCACUUAUAGAUGGAUCCGCGCCGCAUUAGCUAGUUGGUAAGGUAACGGCUUACCAAGGCAACGAUGCGUAGCCGACCUGAGAGGGUGAUCGGCCACACUGGAACUGAGACACGGUCCAGACUCCUACGGGAGGCAGCAGUAGGGAAUCUUCCGCAAUGGGCGAAAGCCUGACGGAGCAACGCCGCGUGAGUGAUGAAGGUCUUCGGAUCGUAAAACUCUGUUAUUAGGAAAGAACAAAUGUGUAAGUAACUAUGCACGUCUUGACGGUACCUAAUCAGAAAGCCACGGCUAACUACGUG
rnacentral:rRNA from 1 species